rnacentral:misc_RNA from 1 species
UUACCGACGUGAGCCACCACG